GAUGAACGCUGGCGGCGUGCCUAAUACAUGCAAGUCGAGCGAACAGACGAGGAGCUUGCUCCUCUGACGUUAGCGGCGGACGGGUGAGUAACACGUGGAUAACCUCCCUAUAAGACUGGGAUAACUUCGGGAAACCGGAGCUAAUACCGGAUAAUCUAUUGAACCGCAUGGUUCAAUAGUGAAAGACGGCUUUGCUGUCACUUAUAGAUGGAUCCGCGCCGCAUUAGCUAGUUGGUAAGGUAACGGCUUACCAAGGCGACGAUGCGUAGCCGACCUGAGAGGGUGAUCGGCCACACUAGAACUGAGACACGGUCCAGACGCCUACGGGAGGCAGCAGUAGGGAAUCUUCCGCAAUGGGCGAAAGCUUGACGGAGCAAAGCCGCGUGAGUGAUGAAGGUCUUCGGAUCGUGAAGCUCUGUUACUAGGGAAGAACAAAUGUGUACGUAACUAUGCACGUCUUGACGGUACCUAAUCAGAAAGCCACGGCUAACUACGUG
rnacentral:rRNA from 1 species